rnacentral:rRNA from 1 species
GACAGAGGGUGCAAACGUUGUUCGGAUUUACUGGGCGUAAAGCGCGUGUAGGCGGCUUGGCAAGUCGGAUGUGAAAGCCCACGACUCAACCGUGGAAGCGCAUCCGAAACGGCCUCGCUCGAGUCUCGGAGAGGAAGGUGGAAUGCUUGGUGUAGAGGUGAAAUUCGUAGAUAUCAAGCAGAACACCUGCGGCGAAGGCGGCCUUCUGGACGAUGACUGACGCUGAGACGCGAAAAGCGUGGGGGAGCAAACAGG